GCAAUAGACUUGGACUCAUGACCUAAUCCAAUUAGGUUAGCCCAAAAGUAUCAAUUAAUCAGAGCACCUUCUAAUUAAUUUUUGAAUUAAACUUCUUUAAUUCUUUCAAGUCCAUAAGUCAAGAUUAACGUCUAGCAAUGUAUCAUAACCAUCUAGAAGACAUAAAAUUUGAUGAAAAUAUCAAAAUUAUCUUUUCAUGGUAAGUUACCAUAUAAUUCAAUCUUUCGAUCACACAACAUCCCAAACA
rnacentral:lncRNA from 1 species